UGGGUUUCAUUCUACUAUUUUUUUUUCACUUUUUAUUAUUUUUCAAGGGUACUGGGGUUGUUUCAGGUACCCUGGUCUAUUUGUAUGAUUUUAGUGGUAUUUAAACUAUUGAAUCCAAUCUGGACUUAUAAUCUUCAUCGUUAUCCUAUAAGCCAUUUUUUCUAUCAUCCGAUAGUAUUCACUAAUAUGAACUGUAAAUUCUGGUAUAUUCUUAUACAUAAAUAUCUGACUAUUCAAUUUACUCCUCCCAGAAUGUCCUGUUUCUAGGUUGGUUUUCUAUGUCAAUUUAUUAAAAGAAUCCUAAGCCAACAUAACCCUUUUAUCGAUAACUUUAAAGGAGACAGAAUCCUCUUGGUCCAACGUUUGCUCAGUUCAUCAUUGUCUAGUCCAGUGCAGCCCAGCUUAUAGGAUGACACGUGGUCUAAGAUUUAUGUUUUCCUAAAGCUACGCUUUUCAAUAACCAAGACUAUAUUAUUUUGUAGAGUUGAUAUCUUCACUUAUCUAUGUAUAGAGUGCUCUUAUGAUUUCUUAUUUAAUAACGAAAGCUUUACCGUGAUUGAGUGGAUGGCAUGGGAUGUCUUUAUCAAAUUUGUUAUACUUUUGAAUUAAAACUUCCUUAGGCGCGACUAGGAGUAUCUAGGCGGUAACUGGACGACAAUGCAACGGAAGUCCGUUACAGCAAUAUUGCGUCCCGUUUCUGAACCAUCCGGUUUUUAAUAUUUUGAUUUUGACAAUAGAUGGUUUAAAUAAAAAAAAAAAGUAAAAAACAUUGUAAAAAUUAUUAAAUUGAAUAAUUACAGAAGUUUUACUUCGAUCGUGUGUGAUAGUUACACGCACUCUUUGUGCUUCAGGCUUGACUAGCAUUAAGUGAAUAUAUCUCAAUAAAAAAAAACUUGUGAUUUGUGAAGGAAUACUCUCAUAUACCUACAAGGACACUAUAUAAGACAAUGAUGAAAAACAUUACGUACGACUACUUCAAGUCGUACCAACUAAAACUAGUUUAACUUUGUGUCACCAAUUUGCACUUGAACUUAUUCUGAACUCGUCAAUUACCAUCAAUCAAAAUAAUAAAAAGCCAUCGGCAAAGUGCGAGUCGGAUAUGUAACUAAGGGUUCCGUACAAACAGGCUGAAGAUGAACCGGUUUGUAAAAAACAACAUCAUUUAUAAAUUUUUUGACCGCAACUGUUUCUUAACAUCGAUUUUACAAAAAAAAA